GAUGAACGCUGGCGGCGUGCCUAAUACAUGCAAGUCGAGCGAACAGACGAGGAGCUUGCUCCUUUGACGUUAGCGGCGGACGGGUGAGUAACACGUGGGUAACCAACCUAUAAGACGGGGAUAACUUCGGGAAAAAGGAGCUAAUACCGGAUAAUAUUACGAACCGCAUGGUUCGAUAGUGAAAGAGGGCUUUGGUAACACAAAUAGAUGGAGCUGCGCCGUAUUAGCUAGUUGGUAAGGUAACGGCUUACCAAGGCAACGAUCCGUAGCCGAGCUGAGAGGGUGAUCGGCCACACUGGAACUGAGACACGGUCCAGACUCCUACGGGAGGCAGCAGUAGGGAAUAUUCCGCAAUGGGCGAAAGCCUGACGGAGCAACGCCGCGUGAGUGAUGAAGGUCUUCGGAUCGUAAAACUCUGUUGUUAGGGAAGAACAACCGUGUAAGUAACUGUGCACGUCUUGACGGUACCUAAUCAGAAAGCCACGGCUAACUACGUG
rnacentral:rRNA from 1 species